AGCGAACGCGCCGCCUCAUCAUAGAUCUCCACCGCCGCCGCCUGGGCUCAAUGCUGUCACUGCCGCUGGACUCGACACCACCCCCGCCGCCUUGACUGGACCGGCGACCUCUGUCCCCAGCAUCCUCUCCUCCAGACGCCAGGCGCCUGAUUAUCUCACCAGGAACACAUGAUUUGAAUAUUGGCAGCAAACUACAAUGGCAGCUAAUUUAGGGUGUGUAAGAUACAAUGUCGAUGCCAUCUCGGCGCCCAGUGGAAACCUGUUUCUAGCUCUGCAUGUCGUUCAUGAUCAGGGACCCGAUUGAAUAAUGUAAAAAGCCUGAAAGGCCUACGGUGGACAUUGUCAUUACCUGAAGAUAGCUGACUGAAUACUGUGACAUCUCUUGGACAUCAAACCGUGGGUGCAUGCUUUUGUGGAAUCUCGUGGAAAUUUACUAGGUGUACUGUACUCAGUUUUUGCAAGCUCUCCCCAGAUUUACAAUGAGUCUGCUGUGGGUGGCUCACAGAACUUGUGUUCGGCUGCUCACUUGACUGAAUACUUGCGCUGCUGCUGCUUUCUACCCAAUACCCAUGAAUGAUUGCUGCUUGGCUACUUGUUGUUCCCAGCCAAUUAGCAAUUUCAGAAUUAAAUUAAUUGGGCAUGCAAUUGAUUUAGCGCAAAUCAAUGUUGUAUCUGUCUUUCUAGAUCGUCUAGUGAUAAUAAUCUGGGACGGAUUCGGUCUAGCCUAGCACAUAUAUUUCAGGAAAGUAAGUAUCACAGAUUCAGCGUAGCCUAGCACAUAUCUUUCAAGUAGGCAAGUAUCACAGAUUCAGGCUAGCCCAUGCAUACCUAUCAGAAAGUUUGUAUCAUUACUUUGAGUUCUGUUGAUGAGUUUACUCUUCUACUCGAUAUACUUAUGCGCUCAUGUCAUUCCAUGAAUUAAUGCAGAGGCAAUGUUGGAGAAGAUGGCGUCCUGGAUUGGAUAGCAGAGAUUGUGCAGAGCACUAUGGAUAUCUACUUUACUGACAGGGAAUUUAGGCAUAAUACAUAGUGCUUUUCCUGAAUGUUUGCGGGGAGCUCAGUUAGUGUCGAUGCCUCAAGGGUUUAUGAAUAACAGUUCCAUGUUGCUUAAAGGCAUUGUAAUGUUGGCUACUAGUUUCCAGGUAUAUGUUUAUGUAGUCAUAUGGACGCCUCAUUGAUAAUUCCUAUAGAAUGUUUAUAUUCUUUAUAACUUUGUCAUGGAUGAACCUAUUCUGGAUAAUGAGGAGUUAGCAAGGGAGGUUUCUGAUUGUAGAGAAUUGGUGACGCUUUUGCUUCAGGAUACUUAAUUAUAUGGCCUUGAGCUUUUAUUCAAAAGAAGGAUAAUUGAGUUGCAGCUGAAUUCUUCGGUUGGAUCAAGCAGCGAAGAAGAUUUUACUUAGCAAUACCUGCAGUUUACAUUGACAGAUUGAAAAAUGUAAUAUCAUUCACAAGAUUUUUUUCUUUGGUUGAAUUGAUGCAACUGCUAUGGUGUAAUAUUCUCCAUAGUUGUGUUGUCUAUAGUCAAAUUGAUAUGAAUGAUAUUCUGUUGCACCAAUAAUAUUGGUAUUUGUUUAUUGUAAUGCAU